rnacentral:rRNA from 1 species
GACAGAGGGUGCAAACGUUGUUCGGAAUUACUGGGCGUAAAGCGCGUGUAGGCUGCUCUGCAAGUCGGAUGUGAAAGCCCUGGGCUCAACCUAGGAAGUGCACUCGAAACUGCAGAGCUUGAGUCUCGGAGAGGAUCGCGGAAUUCUCGGUGUAGAGGUGAAAUUCGUAGAUAUCGAGAGGAACACCGGUGGCGAAGGCGGGUCUCUGGGCAAUUCCUGACGCUGAGGCGCGAAAGCGUGGGGAGCAAACGGG